CCUACGGGGGGCUGCAGUGAGGAAUAUUGGUCAAUGGACGAGAGUCUGAACCAGCCAAGUAGCGUGAAGGAUGACUGCCCUAUGGGUUGUAAACUUCUUUUAUAUGGGAAUAAAACGUUCCACGUGUGGGAUUUUGUAUGUACCCUAUGAAUAAGGAUCGGCUAACUCCGUGCCAGCAGCCGCGGUAAUACGGAGGAUCCGAGCGUUAUCCGGAUUUAUUGGGUUUAAAGGGAGCGUAGGUGGAUUGUUAAGUCAGUUGUGAAAGUUUGCGGCUCAACCGUAAAAUUGCAGUUGAAACUGGCAGUCUUGAGUACAGUAGAGGUGGGCGGAAUUCGUGGUGUAGCGGUGAAAUGCUUAGAUAUCACGAAGAACUCCGAUUGCGAAGGCAGUUCACUGGACUGCAACUGACACUGAGGCUCGAAAGUGUGGGUAUCAAACAGGAUUAGAUACCCUAGUAGUC
rnacentral:rRNA from 1 species